AGCCCGGCGACGUUUUGCUGCAGCGGUAGCCUUGAGUGCCAGCAUCAGCGCAGUUCCAUCCGUGCUGUUUUGCACACGAGCCAGCUCCUCUCCAAGGCCCUUCAGGAUCUCGAGGCUGACCACCAAAACAGUGUGAAUCUGGGUCCUUAGGAGCUUGAACACCAUCAGGUGCCAAUGCUCUGCUCAUUGUGGACAAGUACUGCGACGAGGACAGCACCUGCCUUCGUGCAAUAUUUCUGGAUGCUUCUUCAUUGUGACUAAUGUGAAACUAUUGUGCAAUUUAACCUUUGUUUACUUCACUAAAAUAAUAAAUGAACCCAACAAUUACAAGAGCAAGCUUGGAAGUGUUGAGACUUCAUAUUACUUUGACUAAAAAAUAAGAAAAAUAUAAUUUUUUAAUGCAGGAA
rnacentral:lncRNA from 1 species